AUGGAAGGGGAGCUGGGCCUCAGAUGCUAGCUAGCUCUUCUCCACGUUUAGCUUCCAAUCCGUCCAUCUCUCUGCAGACUGCAGGGGUAUUUCUUGUAGUUCAGCUCAUGAGUUUCACAAGACUUCAUCACACGGUUAAACUACAAAUUGUGCGAGACAAAUUAGUAGCGAUACUGUUGACCAGAAUUUUGGAAAUAAACCGGCUCCAACACCUACUUGCAAAGAUAUUUGGAACCGGUGACCAGCUGCACGACGAUGAAUCCUACAAGACGACCAUGUAAUACACAGUGUCGUCCUCUUCGUUCUACUACUCAACAGAGCAGUCGCCGACCAAUAACGAAUGGAGUAUUAUCUCUGUCCUUCACCUUACACCAUAUUCACACCAUAGAACUGCAAAUGUCCGAGGUACCAACUAACAUCGGUACCUUUGGCAUGAAUGAUGAAUGAAGAGGACGGCGAUGACUAUAUUAGAGAAUGGGAAAGUGAAUAACUGCUCGAUCUGUCACUAACAAUUUGUAAUUCAACAUCAGAGGCAUAUUAAUUUCGUUUAUGAAACGUUGUAAUAUAGACGUGCCUACGGUGGCGUCACGUUUGAU
rnacentral:lncRNA from 7 species